GGAGAAUGUGCCUGUGCUUUUUACGGCAGGAUUUGCUUUUGCAUCUAUUUAUAGCUCAAUAUUAAAAUAUCUGUAGUAGUAUUGUAGCUCAGACAUCAUUUUAACAUAUCAGGGUAGUCUUUCUGAGUGUGUUAAUUAGCUUUUCAUUUAAAGACCAUGUCUUCUAUGCUUGAGGAAGCCAAUCAGCUUUACUGUGGCUUGACAUAUUGUUUCUGAUUGGAGAACUCUGAUAUUCUGCAUUUUAGUGAUUUUUUAAAGGAAAAAUUCUUUAGAUUCUGAUUUGAAACAAACAAACACAAUAUUUAAUAUUGAAAUGCUUCUAUUGUGUUAAGAAACAAAUUAUUUGUAGUAUGAGAAAUAGCAACAAAAAUGGGAGUGGAAUGAAAUCAAUAGGCAAUUCUCUUAUGGGUUUACAGAAAGUAGCUAAACACUUCAAGCCCAUUUUCUGUUAUUCUAUCAGUCCUGAACAAUGUAUUUAAGUUUUAUCAUCAUUGGUUAUUUGAAUAGAAAUUACUAUUUUUAGAAAAAAACUAAUUAAAACACAUUAAUUCAUUAGCUCCCUUUUCAUUCUGCAUUUAAGCAUAACAUGAGUUAAUUUGAGCUAUAUCUUUUAGUAUCUCACAUUGAUUGGGCAUCCAUUAAAAAUGACAAAAUCAAUCACUUAGUGCAUGAGACUCAUAAGUAUGGAUUUCUCGCUAUGAUCCCCUUUCAUUGCUAAAGAAAAGAUUAUUUAAUUUUGAACCCACCAACCAAGUUCUCCAUAGUAUGACCUUAAAUUUUUUACUUUUACAGAUUAUAUUUCAGAAAACCUUAAGGGUUAUCUUCCUAUAAGGCCUAGUAUCACAUGGUAGCUUCAGAUGAUGGUAAUGGACUUGAAGCCUCAGGCCUUAAAGUUAGAUGAAUACCUUCUUUUAUUUAAAAAAAUUGCCAAGUGUCUGAUUCAGUUUUUCCAAUUGUCAAUGAAAAUAAACUAAAAUGAUUUUUUUAGAAAAGGUAA
rnacentral:lncRNA from 1 species